AGGACGAACGCUGGCGGCGUGCUUAACACAUGCAAGUCGAGCGGAAAGGCCCUUCGGGGUACUCGAGCGGCGAACGGGUGAGUAACACGUGAGCAACCUGCCCCUGGCUCUGGGAUAGCCUCCGGAAACGGGGAUUAAUACCGGACAUUCUCCUCCUUCCGCAUGGUUGGUGGUGGAAAGUUUUUUCGGCCAGGGAGGGGCUCGCGGCCUAUCAGCUUGUUGGCGGGGUAACGGCCCACCAAGGCGACGACGGGUAGCCGGCCUGAGAGGGCGACCGGCCACGACUGGGACUGAGACACGGCCCAGACUCCUACGGGAGGCAGCAGUGGGGAAUAUUGCGCAAUGGGCGGAAGCCUGACGCAGCGACGCCGCGUGGGGGAUGAAGGCCUUCGGGUUGUAAACCCCUUUCACCAGGAGCGAAUCAAGACGGUACCUGGGAAGAAGCGCCGGCUAACUACGUGCCAGCAGCCGC
rnacentral:rRNA from 1 species